AGAGCGAACGCUGGCGGCAGGCCUAAUACAUGCAAGUCGAACGGAUCCUUCGGGAUUAGUGGCGGACGGGUGAGUAACACGUGGGAACGUACCCUUUGGUUCGGAACAACUCAGGGAAACUUGAGCUAAUACCGAAUGUGCCCUUCGGGGAAAAGAUUUAUCGCCAUUGGAGCGGCCCGCGUCUGAUUAGCUAGUUGGUAGGGUAAAGGCCUACCAAGGCUACGAUCAGUAGCUGGUCUGAGAGGAUGAUCAGCCACACUGGGACUGAGACACGGCCCAGACUCCUACGGGAGGCAGCAGUGGGGAAUAUUGCGCAAUGGGCGGAAGCCUGACGCAGCGACGCCGCGUGAGGGAUGACGGCCUUCGGGUUGUAAACCUCUUUCAGCUCUGACGAAGCGAGAGUGACGGUAGGAGCAGAAGAAGCACCGGCCAACUACGUGCCAGCAGCCGC
rnacentral:rRNA from 1 species